UGGGGAAUAUUGCGCAAUGGGCGAAAGCCUGACGCAGCGACGCCGCGUGGAGGAUGAAGGUCUUCGGAUUGUAAACUUCUGUUAAGUGGGAAGAAAAGCUUAUUUCUAAUAAAGAUAAGUUCUGACUGUACCAUUAGAGAAAGCACUGGCUAAUCUCGUGCCAGCAGCCGCGGUAAUACGAGAGGUGCAAGCGUUAUUCGGAAUUACUGGGCGUAAAGGGUGCGUAGACGGCAUAUUAAGUCAACUGUUAAAUUCUCCGGCCUAACCGGAGGUCAGCGGUAGAUACUGAUGUGCUAGAGGAUGGGAGAGAGAGGUGGAAUUCUCGGAGUAGCGGUAAAAUGCGUAGAUCUCGAGAGGAACACCGAUGGCGAAGGCAGCUUCUUGGCCCAUUUCUGACGUUGAGGCACGAAAGCGUGGGGAGCAAACAGG
rnacentral:rRNA from 1 species